rnacentral:lncRNA from 1 species
CAUCUAUAAAGCUCACAGCCACGUGGGAGGGGUUUGCUUCACAAGAUUUUGGUCCACUGUGCUACUCUUAGGAGAAGGAGCUCAUCAUCAAGUCUUCCACUAAACUGUCCCCUCAAGAUUUCCAGGACUCCGGGGAGCCACACCCAGCUCUGGCCUCGCGUCACUACGCUCUGCAAUAGGAGGACGGUAGGGUCCUUGGCCAUGCUGGCUCGCCUGGUCACGGCGACUCCCACGCACGCCCGGACUCCUGGUGCUGGUGCUCGCUCAGCAGGCGCGGCUGGGGGCGGCUGACCGAGGGGCCUGGGCCCAAGAAGCUCUGCUUUAUGAAGACACCGGGCGCAGGGAGGUCCUCCAGUUCCCCCAUCCCACUACCUAUCGCCCAGGCUGGAGUGCAGUGGCGUGAUCUUGGCUCACUGCAGCCUCCACCUCCCGGAUUCAAACGAUUCUCCUGCCUCAGCCUCCCAAGUAGCUGGGAUUACAGG